CCGGUAGCUCAGUUGGUAGAGCAAGGGACUGAAAAUCCCUGUGUCGGCGGUUCGAUUCCGCCCUGGG
rnacentral:tRNA from 2 species